rnacentral:pre_miRNA from 10 species
AUGUGGACUCCCUGACUUUGAGUUUCUCCUCAGGGUGCUACGGGCAAGGCCGGGGACCCAGGGAGAGACGUAAGUAAGGGGAGAUAUUAGGAUGGA